AUGCAUUCUCCUCGCAAUGCUAACUUUAUUAGGAACCCAAUUCUAAACUGCACGUUAAACCUGUCAUCAUUUAUUCACCCUCAAAGUGUCAGCAACUGGCGCGUGAGUAAGUGUGCUGCAGUGCUUCCUAGGAGUGGAUGAGAGGAGUAUUUGGCAGGUUUGGGAUCAGACCUUUCACGUUACCUGGAGCGUCUGGAGCAGGUGCAGUCAGCUUCGCUCGCUUCGCGCUGGGAGGGCCACCUUCCAGCACAUUCUCAGCCAUUGCGAUUGAAAUGAGCUUCUGGACAGAAGUUGUGUGGGGGGAUUCAAAGCGGAGGAUCCUU